UAUGCAUACAGAAGCUCUCUAGAAAAGUUAAAAAUUUAUAACCGGAACUCAGAGUGACAGUUUCGAAACCGUUAGCUCCGAUUCAGGUCUUAAGAACUUAUAACUGAAAUGCAGACCUUCAUAAACAGUCUUUUUUUUUAUUCAAAACCUCAAAAUUAUUGAUCGAUUUUGGAUUCGAAUAUAAAUUAUGUUUAGAUGUAAAGCAGCUGAGUUCGAUUAAGUCGAUUGAUGUGCUGUAAGAGAAACAAAACAAGCAAUUUAAUUUCUUACAUGUUCAACCUCAUUCAGUGUUUGAUGAAUUAACUAGGGUAUUUAACAUGCUUUCUGAUUACUGGGGUAUUUUGCAAUUAUGUCUGUUCUGUUUGCGAUGUGCUAUUUAAAUUAUUCUUGUCCUAAAGAUUGAAAUGCUGUGUUUUCCUGUGUGUUCGAGACAUGCCACCACACCACUGUGCUUUCAUGCUUCCAAAUGCUCUCUGUUUGUCUUUUAGGUUAUGAGAAGAAGAACGAAAUUGGUGCAUCAGGUUUUAGACAAAGAACGACGGAGGAAGGUAGGUAUGUUGGUUUGCCAGUCGGCAUAUGUAUCCUGCAUUAACAAUUUGAGGUCAAUUUUAAGAUCUUGUUUCUUGAGUCAUCCUAAUGAGUGCUUAUUGCAAUCUUUCUUUCAACUCUUCCCAUUACAGAAUCCAUUGCUGCUGUGACAUAUCCCAUUAAUGGCAAACUCUAGAAUUAUGCGUAGUUUAGUAUUCUAAUAAAUAAAGAUAGAGUAGCGGAGUUUCAUGAUGAAAUUGGUGAGUUUGACCUGAUGAGAGCAAAUUUGAAAACAGAAGAAACCACAUAUUGGUGCCGACAGGGUUGAGAAGUCCACCAAUCUUCCUAAGGUAGCAUUUUGGCUUCUGCAGCAUAAGGUUAAUUAUUUAGCAUUAUUAUGAUGGCUGCUUGUGAUACGUUAAGGUCUUUACCGACUAUGCAUAAAUCCAUGCACGUACAUUUCAGGCACAAAUCUGAUUUCUUUGUUUCUUUUUUUAACUCAAGAAGGAGAGUGUACCAAUGUUGACAGCAAAUUCGAUCUGUCCUAACAUCAAUAUUAUCCUGCAUUAAUGAAGCCGAACACCAUCAGGGGGACAAUCAAAGGAGUGACAGCCAUUGCAAAUCAAGCAUCUUGAAGAUCUCGAGGAAAAGGCUAAACUUUGGUUGUCCACUUCAAGGAAAAUAGCUCUGAAACUCUUAUGCCAUGCAAGAUAUAAUCCAUGAAGAACUCCCCAAGUCUCAGCAGCAAGAACACUGCAUAUACCAAUGUUGACAGCAAAGCCAGCCUCCCAAGCUCCAAAGUGAGAUCUGAUAAUGGCUCCAGCCCCAGCCCGACUAUUACAAAACUUCACAGAGCCAUUAGUAUUAAGCCUCACCUAACAUUCAGGCGGAUGGCUCCAACCAAUUAAUCUUUCGACGCGCACACCAGCCCCAUUCCUGUUUGCAUGCAUGCAGGGCUGUCUACGAAAAAUAUGCAUUGCUCCUUUUAAUUUUUAAGUUUUAAUUCUCAUUUAUAUUCCAAGCCAAUACAAAUAUUAACAUUUUGUCCCUCUCAAUUUGGCAUUAUGGCUUCGCCGCCGGUAAUAUGUAAGUAAACUAUUGUAGGUUUCUGCAUUUAAGAAGGGCUGUCUAUGAAAAAGAUUCUGCCGCUGUAGCAAAGGCAGAUAAUUUUUAUAGUGAA